rnacentral:rRNA from 1 species
UACAGAGGGUGCGAGCGUUGUCCGGAAUCAUUGGGCGUAAAGCGCGCGUAGGUGGCCAUGUAAGUCCGUUGUGAAAGUCAAAGGCUCAACCUUUGAAAGCCGAUGGAUACUGUGAGACUAGAGUACGGAAGAGGCGAGUGGAAUUCCUGGUGUAGCGGUGGAAUGCGCAGAUAUCAGGAGGAACACCAAUAGCGAAGGCAGCUCGCUGGGACGUUACUGACACUGAGGCGCGAAAGCGUGGGGGAGCGAACAGG